rnacentral:rRNA from 1 species
GUGGGGAAUAUUGGGCAAUGGGCGCAAGCCUGACCCAGCAACGCCGCGUGAGGGAAGAAGGCUUUCGGGUUGUAAACCUCUGUCCUUGGUGACGAAACAAAUGACGGUAGCCAAGGAGGAAGCCCCGGCUAACUACGUGCCAGCAGCCGCGGUAAUACGUAGGGGGCGAGCGUUGUCCGGAAUUACUGGGCGUAAAGGGUGCGUAGGUGGCCUUUUAAGUUGGAUGUGAAAUACCCGGGCUUAACUUGGGGGGUGCAUCUAAUACUGGGAGGCUAGAGUACAGGAGAGGGAAGCGGAAUUCCUAGUGUAGCGGUGAAAUGCGUAGAUAUUAGGAGGAACACCAGUGGCGAAGGCGGCUUGCUGGACAAAUACUGACGCUGAGGUGCGAAAGCGUGGGGAGCAAACAGGAUUAGAAACCCGUGUAGUCC